rnacentral:rRNA from 2 species
GGACCAAGGAGUCCAGCGAACGAGCGUGACGCAAAGGUUCAUUUAAUAGAAUCCGUCAAACUUAACGAAAGCAAUCGAGAGUCGUCUAGGCGGCUCAAGUUUGUAUGAUGAGACGUUUUGAUAUUUUAUCAGCGUCUAGGCAAAUCGGAGAUGGCAAUUAUGCGUCAGCAAUGGCGCUGCCGUACUCGUAGCUCGUGCUCUGGAACCCGAAAGAUGGUGAACUAUGCAUGGAAAGGAUGAAGCCAGGGGAAACUCUGGUGGAGGUCCGCAAUGGUUCUGACGUGCAAAUCGAUCAUCAGAACUAUGUAUAGGGGCGAAAGACCAAUCGAACCAUCUAGUAGCUGGUUCCUUUCGAAGUUUCCCUAAGGAUAGCUGAGGUCUAGUAAAGAUAGUCACAUGCGGUAAAGCGAAUGAUUAGAGUCGUUGGGUUCGAAACGUUCUCAACCUAUUCUCAAACUGUUAAUGUGUGUGUUUUCCAUUAGCUAGCGUGCUACGUAGCAAGUGGAUAGAUAGUAAAGGCCUUCAGUGGGCCAUUUUUGGUAAGCAGAACUGGCGAUGCGGGAUGAACCGGUCGUAAAGUUAUAGUGCCAAAAUCAACGCAUAUCGGACCCCACAAAAGGCGUUAGUAACUAAAGACAGCAGGACGGUGGCCAUGGAAGUCGGC